GCCGCGUGGAGGAUGACACAUUUCGGUGCGUAAACUCCUUUUAUAUAAGAAGAUAAUGACGGUAUUAUAUGAAUAAGCACCGGCUAACUCCGUGCCAGCAGCCGCGGUAAUACGGAGGGUGCAAGCGUUACUCGGAAUCACUGGGCGUAAAGAGCGUGUAGGCGGAUAGAUAAGUCAGAAGUGAAAUCCAAUAGCUUAACUAUUGAACUGCUUUUGAAACUGUCUAUCUAGAGUAUGGGAGAGGUAGAUGGAAUUUCUGGUGUAGGGGUAAAAUCCGUAGAGAUCAGAAGGAAUACCGAUUGCGAAGGCGAUCUACUGGAACA
rnacentral:rRNA from 1 species